rnacentral:tRNA from 1 species
GCUCUUUGAGUGUUUAAGCAUAUUGUAUUUCGGCUACAGGGGAACGUGUGUAAAGAGUG